CUCUUUAUUAUUAUUAAUUGAUUUAACUGUAACCAAGACCUACAGAUUAUUAUCUCUAUUUUAGGGAUGAAUAACAGAGUAGAGAAGAAUAUCAAUUUGCUGCAAUCAUAUGUCAAAAAUAUCAGAGUUUGGAUUGUACCAGAUACCUGACUUUAGAAUAGAUACACAUGUAUGUGUAACUGGGUCACCAUGCUGUGCCCCCCAAAAUAUAUAUGUAUAUAAAUGAUAAAAAACAAAAUAAAAUAAAAUUGUGAUAUGGGAGUUUGAAAAUAAAAUGGUGCCUUAGGAGUUCCUGCUGUGGUACAGUGGGUGAAGGAUUUGACUGCAGUGUCUUGGGUUGCAGAGGCCUGGGUUCUAUACCUGGAUUUAGUCCCCAGCUGGGGGCAGGUGGUUCAAAUAUCUGGCAAUACCACAGCUGAAGCUUGGAUUACUCUCUGAUCCAAGAAUUUCCAUAUUCCACAGAUGUGGCCAUGUAAUAAAAUUAAAAUAAAAUAAUAAUAUAAAAUAAUGCAUCUAUAAGAUAUCGGGAGGAACACAGGCAUAGAAUUAGAACAAGUUCGUUUUCACAUGGUAAAAGGAGAUCUCUACAUCCCACUGAACAAAAUAAAUCAUAGCUGAAAAGUGUCCAAGACAGCAAAGCGGGAAACCCUGAGCUCACUUUCACCCACAGGAACACUGAGUCCCUGGGUCAGAGAGCCAUGGAAGGGAAGGGCUAGAGCUGCUUGGGGUCUUAAAUCUGUAAGGUCCUUCUAUCAUCCAUUGGUAACAGCUCUCCAGUGAGUUUUUCAGGGUGUGCAAAGCAGGCAACUCUAAAUGGCUUCAAAUGUGAUUGUUUGAGCUAUUUUUAAAAUCUGGAUGCCUGAAAAGUUGAGUUUGGUGCUGACAGGCUUUUGCACUGAAGAGUGAUAACCCACAAGGAAGCUAUAAACAUCCUUGGGGGCCAAUAGACAGAGGCCAUCGUUGGCUCAUUCAUGAAACAAGAGCAAAACAUUUCCGAGGGAAGUGAAAUCUAACAUUCUCUAUCUUUACUUCAUAUACUUUCUGGUGUCUGGGAGGCUAGGGCUCUCAGUGCAAAAGCAGUGAGAAAUCCAGGAAAUUUUCAUUUCCCCACAAAGCCGUAGAAAAAAGCUGUCCUAUUGAACUUUUGUUUUUUGAUAAUGAAAAUGUUUUAUAUCUUCAUUGUCCAAAUAUGUUCCUGGGCACAUGGGUUAGUGAGUGUUUGAAAUGUGGUGAAUAGUCAUGGGUAGCUGGUGAUUACCAUCUUGGACUGCACAGAGAUAGACUAUGAGGCAGCUCCAGAGAUGAUGGGCAGCUGAGUAAGAUGAGGAUAUUUGUUCUGGGCAUAUAUCCAGACAAAACUUUAAUUCAAAAAGAUACAUGCACCCCUAUGUUCCUUGCAGCACUAUUCGCCAUAGCCAAGGCAUAGAAACAGCCUAAAUUUCUGCUGACAGAUUAUGAAAAUGUGGUACAUAUAUGCAAUGGAAUAUUAUUCUGCCAUAAAAGGACAAAAUAACACCAUUUACAGCAACAGGAUAUAGCUAGAGAUUCUAAGUGAAGUAAGUCUGAAAGAUAAAGACAAACAGUCACUAGCUUGAUUCUAUUCUCCAUCAGGUGGUUUUACUUGCUCUUAGAGUCAAUGAAAGUGAGGUCAUAUAACAAACACACUUUCAUGCCUUUCAAACACACUUUCAUGCCUUUUAUGUUUUUGAGGCUUGUCCAUAUCAUUGUACAUAGCUCUAAUUUGUUCUUUUUGUAUUGGUGUGGAAUUUUCUGCAUUUUCUGCAUUCUGCAUAAUUUAUGCCACAUGCCAUAGUUUGUUUACCCAUUCUACCACUAAGGGCAUUUGAAUUAUUUCCAGUUUGGUGCUGUCAUGAAAAGCAUUGCUAUAAACAUUUUUAGAUCUGCUUUGUGGAUGUAAGCACCCAUUUCUGCUAGGCAUAUACCUGAGAGUUGGAGGGCUCUGCUGUAGGAGUAUAUUUGCACUUAGUAGAAGUGCCAAAGUAAUUGCAUGGAGUUAUACUUCUUGUAUAACUAUACUAGUAUACUAAUAGUUUCUGAAAGUUCCCAUUGCUCCAAGUUUCCGCUAGUUCUUGGUAUUUUCAAACAUUUGAGUGUUUGCCAUUAUGGUGGAUGAAUUGAUGAUUAUCUUGAUAUAGCUAAUGACAAUUCUCAGAGACCAAGUAUAAACCCAUCUGCAGAGGUAAGAGGGCAUAAAUGUCACUAAAGGUAUUUCAUGGGAAGUGGUUGCUUGUGGGCAUGUAAACUCAAAGAAACCCAAGUGAUGGUCUUUCAGAACAAGAGGGACAAGUCACAUGCUCAAAGGAGUCAAAUAUUUGGUAUUUCUGUCUACCAGGGUAUUGACCCUUGGUUAUCAUAAAAACAUCCCAGUCUCAGCAUCCAUGGUUCUUCACAGGGGGAAGAAAGACCUGCUGACAAAUUUCCUCAGGGCCCCCUUCAUGUCCUUGUUCCUCAGUCUGUAGAUGAAGGGGUUCAGCAUUGGGGUGACCACGGUGUAUAUCACUGAGGCCACUGCUCCCUUUGAGGAGGAUGGGGAGAAGGCAGAACUGAGGUACAUGCCUAACCCUGUGUCAUAGAAUUAGGAAAUGAGACCCACAGAUGGAAAACGCUUUGUACCUCCCCUCCACUGAGGACAUUUUCAAUAUGGAGGAAAUAAUCUUAGAAUAAGAGUAAAGAAUCCCAGUUACUGGAAUGAUAACCAUCAGGCCCGUCUCAGAAUACAGCACAAUGUAAUUGCUGAGAGCAUCAGAACAGGUGGACUCGGGCACCUCAGCCAGUUCACAGAAGAAGUGGGGUCUUUCCGUGUGUGUGUAGAAUGAGAGAUGCAGCACCAUCAGACUCUGGAGGAGGGGACGAUGACACUGGCAAUCCAAGAGACUAGAGCCAGCAGGUUACAGAAGUGCAGGUUCACCAUGAUUGUUUAGUGCAGGGGUGACAGAUAGCCAUAAAUUUGCCAUAGGCCAUCAUGACCAGGAGGAGGUUGUCCAAACACACAAAAACUGAGAAAAAAUAGAUCUGGGUAAUGCAGUCGGCAUAGGUGAUGGCUUUGCUCACUGUCUGGAUGUUCAUCAGCACUUGGGAACCAUGGUGGUGUUGAGACAAAUAUCAGAAAAGACAGGUGUGAGAGGAAGAAGCCCAUGGGGGUGUGGAGAUGGAAGUGAAGGUAAAAACCAGAAUGAUGAGCAGGUUCCCACACACCAAGACCAGGUACAAGGAGAAGAACAGCCCAAGGAGGAGUAGCUGGAGUUCUGGAUCCUCUGAGAGGCCCAGAGGAGGAAUUCCAAGACACCUGUUUGGUUUCUUACAUCCAUGGAGCUGAUAAUUCUGCCAUGUAACUGACAACGCAAUGGUAAUUAAAAAAAAAAAAAGGAGUCCACAAAUGUGAAAUGUUUUUAUUAUGUAAGUGACAUGCCCCCCCAAAAGAAAACAGAAAAAAAGCAUUUAUUUUGGCUAACAAAGUUUUAGUUUUCAUUCACUGGGAGCAACUGCAAAUGUCAUUACCUUAUACAGGUAACAUUUUUGGGGAUAAUCUCUUCCCUCCUUCUGAUCUGUAGCACAAUUUAGUCUUUGUCUUCAACAUUUGUCUCAAGAGUCCAUCAGUCUCUGUGGUGUCUAGCUCAGCAUCAGACGCUUUCAGGUGUAGCACAUAAAUGAUUUGACCAUUCUUCCUUCAGAGGUGCCAAAAUUUGCCUCUUGGAGGAUUCUGCCUUUUCCUACUUUUACCUAGUACUCUAGCACAGCCACAUGUGUUGGUGGUGCUCUGGCCCCAUUGCUCCCUGAAAAGAACUAAUUUGAUAAGAGAGUGGUGUUUGAGUCAAUCUGGACAAUGAGCUGCACUGGAGAAACUCAAAUAGAACUCAUAUUUUAGUUAAUAAUCUGAGGGGGUAGACUUGAUUGGACAAAUCACCCAAGGAUCCAGGGUAGAGUUGGCCAACACUAUGAUUGCAAAGAGGGAAACCUAUGCUUCAGGACCAGUGUACUGAACUUCUAAGCUAGGUGUGCUAGUAAAGAUCAUGUCAAAUUAUAAAUCCUAGAGUCUGACUGCUACACCAUGAAUCCUGGUUUUACUCUUCACUGAUCUUGGCCAAGUUCUCUGAUUUCUCAGUACCUCAGUUUCCUACUUGAUGAAAUGGGGUUAUUAAUGUUACCUACUCCAUAGAAUGGUUGAGAGGGACAAAUGAGUUCAUGUCUUAAAGAACUGUGCUGGAACACUGUGGAAACCUAGAGAAAUCAUGGCCCAAUAUAUUUUAGAUGUUGGGAAAUAAAGUCUGAAGAUCUGAAGGCAGUGAGGUAAGUCCUUAGAGGAAUGGGGUAUCAGAGCUCUUGGCCUAAAAUAAUAUGGGAAGGAGAGAGAAAUGGAAACAAAUGGAAUUGAUAACCUUGGUUGUGAAGUUUCCCUGGUUGGGGAGCAUCCCCUUCAAGACUGAAUCAUCUUUUUGUAAUAGUUACAGCAUCUCCUUUGGACAAAUAUCCAGAAGUGGAAUUGCUGUCAUGUGGCAUGUCUGUUUAAAAAUUUUGAGGAACUUCCAUACUCUUCUCCAUAGUGACUACACAGUCCAAUCAGCAAUGCCUCUGGAUCCUCCUUUCUGCACAUCCUUGCACACAUAUGUUAUCUCUUGUCUUUUUUGUUUUUUAAAUUUUACUGGCAUAUGGUUAACUUAAAAUGUUAUAUUCAUUUCAUGUGUAUGGCAAAGUGAGUCAGUUAUAGACAUACAUGUACCCAUUCUUUUUUCCCAUAUAAAUCUACUCAAUCAUUUGUAAUAAUCUCUUCUCUUUUUGAUAAAAGCCAAUUUAAUAGGUAUGAGGUGAGGACUUGUCUUCCCAAUAUUGGACCCCAGGGCUGGGGUGCCCAGAAUGUCCUUUGAAAACUUCACUCCCCAAGGAGGUUAUCCCAGCCUGUGAUAUAUCUCCCUCCUCUUUCAUGUCCCCUCCUAGGGGCAUGGUUCCUGACAUGAUGGCUUCCUCUCCUUCAUGCCCUAUUCCCUAUGGAUCUCUGGGGUAGAAGAGAUGCUUUGAGAGUUUCCAGUGUGUACAAUUACUCUGCCCAUAGAUUUUUUUUUUUUUUGCUUUUAGGGCUGAAACUGCAGCAUAUAGAAGUUAAUAGGCUAGGGGUCGAAUAGGAGCUGAUAGGGACUGCAGCUAAUAGUCCACACCACAGGCACAGCAAUGUGGAUCCAAGCCACAUCUGUUACAUACUCCACAGCUUACCUCAAUGCUGGAUCCUUAACCCACUGAGUGAAGCCAGGGAUAGAAUCUGCCUCCUCUGAGACAUACGCCAGGUACUUAACCUACUGAGCCACAAUAGAACUCCCGUUCAACUUUUCUUUAUAUCACUUAACAACAAACUAAUCCCUGCCUUCCCUAGGAGAUAACCCUUGUCAGGAAUGCUACAUAGGUAGGAUUUAGAAAGUUACAUCACACCACUCUCCACAUACAUCCCACUCCAUGUACUAGAAAAAAAACAGGUAAUCCCAAACAUAUUUUAUUAGUCUUCAAGGGCUAAGAACACAAAAAAAA
rnacentral:lncRNA from 9 species